AUUGAACGCUGGCGGCAGGCUUAACACAUGCAAGUCGAGCGGAGAUGAGGUGCUUGCACCUUAUCUUAGCGGCGGACGGGUGAGUAAUGCUUAGGAAUCUGCCUAUUAGUGGGGGACAACAUUCCGAAAGGAAUGCUAAUACCGCAUACGCCCUACGGGGGAAAGCAGGGGAUCUUCGGACCUUGCGCUAAUAGAUGAGCCUAAGUCGGAUUAGCUAGUUGGUGGGGUAAAGGCCUACCAAGGCGACGAUCUGUUGCGGGUUUGAGAGGAUGAUCCGCCAAACUGGGACUUGGACAGGGCCCAGACUCCUGCGGGAGGCAGCAGUGGGGAAUAUUGGACAAUGGGCGGAAGCCUGAUCAAGCCAUGCCGCGUGUGUGAAGAGAGCCUUUUGGUUGUAAAGCACUUUAAGCGAGGAGGAGGCUACCUGGAUUAAUACUCUAGGAUAGUGGACGUUACUCGCAGAAUAAGCACCGGCUAACUCUGUGCCAGCCGCCGCGGUAACAC
rnacentral:rRNA from 1 species